UGGGAGGAUGGAUAGGCAAGGCUAGAGCCUGCAUCUGCAUGCUCGCUGGUGCCUUACAGGUUUCUUUAGAAAGCAGAGGAAAGAGCAGGCAGAACUGGGGUUCUCCUCCAGGUGCUCGGCAGCGCCCAGCCCCAGCUCAGAAAGCACAACACAUGAAUAAUCAGCACUAACGGAUGUCAGCCUCAUCACUGGAUGUUGGCAGAGGCUCAGAACAACACUGGAGAGAAACCGGGCAGGCCAUGCACCAACACACAGGGAAAAAUUCAGCUUUUCUCUGCAGAACUUCUGGGAGAACUCAGAAACAUGGGGAGACUCUUUGCUUGAUGAGAGCAGUAAGGUUGGUCUUUGGCUGCUGCUGCUUCUCAGACACGGAAAAUAGCCAGCUUCUCCCCUUGACAGCAAUGUUCUUAGGAUGACAUGGUGGGUGUGCUCCCAGCUACCUAACUGCUGCCAGCUGGAUCCGCGUCUCUUGUUCUGCAAGGUUAUGGUCAAAUCGUAAAUAAAUCACAGAGAACAAUAAACCCUUCA
rnacentral:lncRNA from 1 species